rnacentral:rRNA from 1 species
UACGAAUCGUCCUAACGUUGUUCGGAUUCACUGGGUUUAAAGGGUGCGUAGGCGGUGCGUUAAGUCGGUGGUGAAAUACUUCGGCUCAACCGGAGAAUUGCCGCUGAAACUGGCGUGCUCGAGGGAGGUAGAGGUGCAUGGAACUUCCGGUGGAGCGGUGAAAUGCGUUGAUAUCGGAAGGAACACCUGUGGCGAAAGCGGUGCACUGGACCUCUUCUGACGCUGAGGCACGAAAGCCAGGGUAGCGAACGGG